AUACGGAGGAUCCGAGCGUUAUCCGGAUUUAUUGGGUUUAAAGGGAGCGUAGGUGGAUUGUUAAGUCAGUUGUGAAAGUUUGCGGCUCAACCGUAAAAUUGCAGUUGAAACUGGCAGUCUUGAGUACAGUAGAGGUGGGCGGAAUUCGUGGUGUAGCGGUGAAAUGCUUAGAUAUCACGAAGAACUCCGAUUGCGAAGGCAGCUCACUAGACUGUCACUGACACUGAUGCUCGAAAGUGUGGGUAUCAAACAGGAUUAGAUACCCUGGUAGUCCGCACAGUAAACGAUGAAUACUCGCUGUUUGCGAUACACGGUAAGCGGCCAAGCGAAAGCGUUAAGUAUUCCACCUGGGGAGUACGCCGGCAACGGUGAAACUCAAAUGAAUUGACGGGG
rnacentral:rRNA from 1 species